GAUGUUCUUAGUGCACUGAUGUCUAUUGUUUUUGUUGUUGAGGUUUAGUUUUUUAUUUUUGUAGAUACAAAAGCGACCUGCAAAAGAAAGAGGAAACAAGUGCACUACACGCAGAGACGAGAAUAAAAGAGAAUCAAGUGCACUGCAUGCCACUCAUUCCCUUGUGAUGUAUACCUCUUUUAUUUGUUGGUUGUGGUGUGUGAAGUAUUAGUGUUGUUUUGAAGAAGCCCUGGAGAACCCGUUGCUCAAUGACCUCACCAUGGUUCACUUUGUGAGAAGAAUGUACACACGAGUUUACUCCUUUAUAAAAAAAUUAAGGAGUUGUCUUUUGCAUUGUUU